AUUGAACGCUGGCGGCAGGCCUAACACAUGCAAGUCGAACGAGUGGCGGACGGGUGAGUAAUGUCUGGGCAACUGCCUGUUGGAGGGGGAUAACUUCUGGAAACGGUAGCUAAUACCGCAUACCAUCCGAUGUUCCCAGAUGGGAUUAGCUUGUUGGUGGGGUAACGGCUCACCAAGGCGACGAUCCCUAGCUGGUCUGAGAGGAUGAUCAGCCACACUGGAACUGAGACACGGGCCAGACUCCUACGGGAGGCAGCAGUGGGGAAUAUUGCACAAGGGGAGAAAGCCUGAGGCAGCCAUGCCGCGUGUAUGAAGAAGGCCUUCGGGUUGUAAAGUACUUUCAGCGGGGAGGCGUUACCCGCAGAAGAAGCACCGGCUAACUCCGUGCCAGCAGCCGCGGUAAUAC
rnacentral:rRNA from 1 species